rnacentral:tRNA from 1 species
UUAUUUUAAAACUAAUGAUAGUAUUUGUCUUGAAAACAAAAAAUUAAUACCCAAAAUAUAGUAUAUUUUAGUGUAAA